UACGGCAGGAGCAAGCGUUGUUCGGAAUCAUUGGGCGUAAAGGGCGCGUAGGCGGUGGUGUUUGUCUGCUGUGAAAGUCCACGGCUCACCCGUGGAGGGUCGGUGGAAACGGCGCCACUUGAGGCUGGGAGGGGUUGGUUGAAUUCCCUGUGUAGCGGUGAAAUGCGUAGAUACGGGGGAGAACACUCGUGGCGAAGGCGGCCAGCUGGCCCAGUCCUGACGCUGAGGCGCGACAGCGUGGGGAGCAAACAGG
rnacentral:rRNA from 1 species